GACGAACGCUGGCGGCGUGCUUAACACAUGCAAGUCGAACGGAAAGGCCCUGCUUUUGUGGGGUGCUCGAGUGGCGAACGGGUGAGUAACACGUGAGUAACCUGCCCUUGACUUUGGGAUAACUUCAGGAAACUGGGGCUAAUACCGGAUAGGAGCUCCUGCUGCAUGGUGGGGGUUGGAAAGUUUCGGCGGUUGGGGAUGGACUCGCGGCUUAUCAGCUUGUUGGUGGGGUAGUGGCUUACCAAGGCUUUGACGGGUAGCCGGCCUGGGAGGGUGACAGGCCACAUUGGGACUGAGGUACGGCCCAGACUCCUACGGGAGGCAGCAGUGGGGAAUAUUGCACAAUGGGCGGAAGCCUGAUGCAGCAACGCCGCGUGCGGGAUGACGGCCUUCGGGUUGUAAACCGCUUUCGCCUGUGACGAAGCGUGAGUGACGGUAAUGGGUAAAGAAGCACCGGCUAACUACGUG
rnacentral:rRNA from 1 species